AAUAAGUGUAGUUUUGCAUUAUUCACGUUCAAUGUUUGACUGUUCGUCUUAUUUGAAUUUUUUUUAUGAUUAGUAUUUUUAUUGCUAUUAGAUGAUAAAACAUGAAUAGUACUCUAUGUGUGACUAAAUAUCUUUAAAUUUGGUCAAACGUUGUGCACGGAUAUCUACGGCUGCACUUAUU
rnacentral:pre_miRNA from 1 species